rnacentral:rRNA from 1 species
UACGUAGGGCGCAAGCGUUGUCCGGAAUCAUUGGGCGUAAAGCGCGCGUAGGUGGCCUCGUACGUCCGCUGUGAAAGUCCAAGGCUCAACCUUGGAACGCCGGUGGAUACUGUGAGGCUAGAGUACGGUAGAGGCGAGUGGAAUUCCUGGUGUAGCGGUGGAAUGCGCAGAUAUCAGGAGGAACACCAAUAGCGAAGGCAGCUCGCUGGGACGUUACUGACACUGAGGCGCGAAAGCGUGGGGAGCGAACAGG